GACGAACGCUGGCGGCGUGCCUAAUACAUGCAAGUAGAACGCUGAAGGAGGAGCUUGCUUCUCUGGAUGAGUUGCGAACGGGUGAGUAACGCGUAGGUAACCUGCCUGGUAGCGGGGGAUAACUAUUGGAAACGAUAGCUAAUACCGCAUAAGAGUAGAUGUUGCAUGACAUUUGCUUAAAAGGUGCAAUUGCAUCACUACCAGAUGGACCUGCGUUGUAUUAGCUAGUUGGUGGGGUAACGGCUCACCAAGGCGACGAUACAUAGCCGACCUGAGAGGGUGCUCGGCCACACUGGGACUGAGACACGGCCCAGACUCCUACGGGAGGCAGCAGUAGGGAAUCUUCGGCAAUGGACGGAAGUCUGACCGAGCAACGCCGCGUGAGUGAAGAAGGUUUUCGGAUCGUAAAGCUCUGUUGUAAGAGAAGAACGAGUGUGAGAGUGGAAAGUUCACACUGUGACGGUACCUUACCAGAAAGGGACGGCUAACUACGUG
rnacentral:rRNA from 1 species